GUUUUGAGUGUGGUUAAUGGGACAGACUUGAAAUCUGUUGGGCUUUGCCCGCGUAGGUUCGAAUCCUGCUCAAGGCG
rnacentral:tRNA from 1 species